UACAGGAGGGUGCAAGCGUUAAUCGGAAUUACUGGGCGUAAAGCGUGCGUAGACGGUUAUGUAAGUCGGGUGAUGAAGCCCGGGCUCAACCCUGGGAAUGCCAUUCGAGACUGCAUAGCUAGGGUGCGGAAGAUGGGAAGCGGAAUUUCCGGUGUAGCGGUGGAAAUGACGUAGAUAUCGGAAGGAACACCAGUGGCGAAAGCGGCUUCCUGGUCCAGCACCGACGUUCAGGCACGAAAGCGUGGGGAGCAAACAGGA
rnacentral:rRNA from 1 species